GGCCCAGAUCGUUUACCGUGAAAAAAUUAGAGUGUUCAAAGCAGGCAGAUCCAAUUUUCUGCCACCGAAUACAUUAGCAUGGGAUAAUGGAAUAGGACCCUGUCCUCCUAUUUUCAGUUGGUUUUGGCAGCGCGAGGACUAGGGUAAUGAUUAAUAGGGAUAGUUGGGGGCAUUAAUAUUUAAUUGUCAGAGGUGAAAUUCUUGGAUUUAUGAAAGAUUAACUUCUGCGAAAGCAUCUGCCAAGGAUGUUUUCAUUAAUCAAGAACGAAAGUUAGGGGAUCGAAGACGAUCAGAUACCGUCGUAGUCUUAACCAUAAACGAUGCCGACCAGCGAUUAGGAGACGUUGAAUACAAAACACCACCAUCGGUUGCGGUCGUCCUUGGCGUCUCGGUUUCGGCCGGGGCGCGGGGACGGUUUAGCCCGGUGGCACCGGUGAAUGACUCCCUAGCAGCUUGUGAGA
rnacentral:rRNA from 1 species